CCAUAUUUCGGUUUGUGCGUGAAUCUAACAAUUCAAUCUGUAUUCGAUUCUCAACAUCUGCUUUGAAUCGGAGGCUGUUAGAUUCGCGCACAAACUCGUAAUCUGUCU
rnacentral:pre_miRNA from 1 species